AGUAAGGUGCCUGAAAUUGAAAGGGUAAUUUUGAUGGAAUUAUAUGUAAGUAAAAUUUCUUACUA
rnacentral:tRNA from 1 species